UACGUAGGGGGCAAGCGUUGUCCGGAUUUACUGGGCGUAAAGGGCGCGUAGGCGGCGCACCAAGUCAGGCGUGAAAGCCUGGGCUCAACCCGGGAAUUGCGCUUGAGACUGGUGCGCUUGAGUACGGGAGAGGAUAGUGGAAUUCCCAGUGUAGAGGUGAAAUUCGUAGAUAUUGGGAAGAACACCGGUGGCGAAGGCGGCUAUCUGGACCGUAACUGACGCUGAGGCGCGAAAGCGUGGGGAGCAAACAGG
rnacentral:rRNA from 1 species